GACGAACGCUGGCGGCGUGCUUAACACAUGCAAGUCGAACGGAAAGGCCCUGCUUUUGUGCGGUGCUCGAGUGGCGAACGGGUGAGUAACACGUGAGUAACCUGCCCUUGACUUUGGGAUAACUUCAGGAAACUGGGGCUAAUAUCGGAUAGGAGCUCCUGCUGCAUGGUGGGGGAUGGAAAGUUUCGGCGGUUGGGGAUGGACUCGCGGCUUAUCAGCUUGUUGGUUGGGUAGUGGCUUACGAAGGCUUUGACGGGUAGCCGGCCUUAGAGGGUGACCGGGGUCAUUGCGCCUGCGGGAGGCCGCAGACUGGAACGGGACGCAGUAGUGGAGAAUAUGGCAGAAUGGGGGGGAGCGUGAGAUAGCAACGCCGCGUGCGGGAUGACGGCUUUCGAGGGGUAAACAGCUUUCGAAUGUGAUGAAGAGUGAUUGACGGUAAUGGGUAAAGAAGCCCCGGCUAACUACGUG
rnacentral:rRNA from 1 species